rnacentral:piRNA from 1 species
UGAAAUGCUUCAAUGUUAAUUGGACACAUU